rnacentral:piRNA from 1 species
UUGUAUGAAGGCACCUAGACUUAGUGAGU